AGGUGCUGGAGAAUCUGCUGAUGAGGAUGCCCAAGUCUCCUAUGCCAAACAACAUCUGAUGCACAAUGCUGCCUAGAGGAGUAGAGAGCUUUUAUUUGAUGAGCGUUCUCCAACUGAUACAACCCGUUAACCUUUCUUCCCUUGGUUGUGCACAGAGUUGGUGACGUGAGCAGUAGCUGCAGAGUCAGCAUACCAGUCAGCACUUGCCUCAUCAGAAAUGUCAGUAAUGCGCAUAGCAGCAAGGGCUUGAGUAGAUUCUUCAGACUGGUAGUUGUUGUUGUAGCGAAAGUAGCAUCUGAAUGCUUGAUGUCCUGGUUUUCCACAGAUCUGACAGACAAUGCGCGUAUCUGUCUCAGAGGAGGAGAACUGCUGCAUAAAGCCGCGACCUUUUGUUGUGUAGUAUCCUCGACCACGAGCUCCAGAUCUACCUCUGCCUCCUCUUCCUCGUGAAGAGUAAUACUGGCCCCCUUGACCUGAGCGAACUGAUGUGAAAGCCAAGUGAGGAGUAACUUCUUGGCCAGUAUCAUAACUCUUAAGUCUGUCAUCAAAGGCAACAAGUCGAGGCAUGAUGGAGUCAAAUGUAGUAGAGGGUUGAGAGUCAAUGGUUCCUUCAAUGGCGGUCUUAAUAGGCUCAAAGUCUUUUCCCAAACCUCUGAGAGCAGUAAAGAUCUUCAUAACUUCAGUCAUUGGCGAUCCUAUGGAGCUCAAACAAGCGUGAGUUAGAGGGUCGAUUGAAGUGGUUGUCCAGCGUUGUCCAGAUCUCGUGAGAUGUGGUGCAGUGAACAACUACACUCUGAAGCUGGUCUGUGACAGAUCCAAGCAACCAGGACUGAAUGACUUGAUCUGUCUGCCACCAAAGCUCAUGGUCCGGGUUCGGCACUGGCGUAGAUGUACCUUGAAUAGAAGGCGCCAAGAUGGUCGAAACAGGCUGAGUGGAUGAUGUUUAAGGAGGGAGGAGUGUAUGGAUCUAGUUCCAUGGCUAGAACACCUAGUGCUCUGAUACCAUGAAAGUAUGAACAAACUAG